rnacentral:tRNA from 1 species
AUUUAAAUAGCUUAAAAAGAGCAUCGUAUUGAAGUUGCGGGUGUGGUUUAUACCUUUAUAUA